ACACAUGCAAGUCGAACGAUGGUCCUCAGCUUGCUGGGGGGAUUAGUGGCGAACGGGUGAGUAACACGUGAGUAACCUGCCCUUGACUCUGGGAUAAGCCUGGGAAACCGGGUCUAAUACCGGAUAUUACUUGUCACUGCAUGGUGGUGGGUGGAAAGCCUUUGGGCGGUUUUGGAUGGACUCGCGGCCUAUCAGCUUGUUGGUGGGGUAAUGGCCUACCAAGGCGGCGACGGGUAGCCGGCCUGAGAGGGUGGACGGCCACACUGGGACUGAGACACGGCCCAGACUCCUACGGGAGGCAGCAGUGGGGAAUAUUGCACAAUGGGCGCAAGCCUGAUGCAGCGACGCCGCGUGGGGGAUGAAGGCCUUCGGGUUGUAAACUCCUUUCAGUAGGGAAGAAGCCGUAAGGUGACGGUACCUGCAGAAGAAGCGCCGGCUAACUACGUGCCAGCAGCCGCGGUAAUACGUAGGGCGCAAGCGUUAUCCGGAAUUAUUGGGCGUAAAGAGCUCGUAGGCGGUUUGUCGCGUCUGCCGUGAAAGUCCGGGGCUUAACCCCGGAUCUGCGGUGGGUACGGGCAGACUAGAGUGAUGUAGGGGAGACUGGAAUUCCUGGUGUAGCGGUGAAAUGCGCAGAUAUCAGGAGGAACACCGAUGGCGAAGGCAGGUCUCUGGGCAUUAACUGACGCUGAGGAGCGAAAGCAUGGGGAGCGAACAGGAUUAGAUACCCUGGUAGUCCAUGCCGUAAACGUUGGGCACUAGGUGUGGGGGACAUUCCACGUUUUCCGCGCCGUAGCUAACGCAUUAAGUGCCCCGCCUGGGGAGUACGGCCGCAAGGCUAAAACUCAAAGGAAUUGACGGGGGCCCGCACAAGCGGCGGAGCAUGCGGAUUAAUUCGAUGCAACGCGAAGAACCUUACCAAGGCUUGACAUGAACUGGAACGGCGCAGAGAUGUGUCGGCCGCUUGCGGCCGGUUUACAGGUGGUGCAUGGUUGUCGUCAGCUCGUGUCGUGAGAUGUUGGGUUAAGUCCCGCAACGAGCGCAACCCUCGUUCUAUGUUGCCAGCGCGUUAUGGCGGGGACUCAUAGGAGGCUGCCGGGGUCAACUCGGAGGAAGGUGGGGACGACGUCAAAUCAUCAUGCCCCUUAUGUCUUGGGCUUCACGCAUGCUACAAUGGCCGGUACAAAGGGUUGCGAUACUGUGAGGUGGAGCUAAUCCCAAAAAGCCGGUCUCAGUUCGGAUUGAGGUCUGCAACUCGACCUCAUGAAGUCGGAGUCGCUAGUAAUCGCAGAUCAGCAACGCUGCGGUGAAUACGUUCCCGGGCCUUGUACACACUGCCCGUCAC
rnacentral:rRNA from 1 species